CUGAGGAAGUGGAGUGUCCCUGGCCACCUUGCUGAGGCUGGUCUAUGUGCCCCUGGGGCCCUUUAGGCCGGGACGUUUUGAUUGCAUUCCUCCUAAAAAGAACCAGCCCAAACCUCCUGGAUUGAAGUCUCCAAUGAUUCAUUCAACAAACUGUGACAGAAACAAUUUGCUUCAGAGAAACCUUGCUCCCUGGAGAAUCUGUCGCUCUGUGUCAUCCUCGGGGACAAGAAAAUUCAAGAACAAACCAGCAUGAAUGUGGGCAAAGAGGUGACAUGGGUGCCUCCCACAGAUCCUACCUCAAACCCUGACAACAUCCCCUGCUGAAGAUCCCACCCUCAGCUCUCAGUCCACCAUGACACUCUCCUACCUUGAAUGUGAACAACACCACGUCAUAGACUGGGGUUCAGAGCUAAUAAAGAGCCCUGGCUCGCACCUCUCUCUCUCUUUCCUAACUGCCGCGCAGCGCGGCCAGCUGCCUCAAGCUCCUGCCACCAUGGUGGCCUUCAUCCUCCAACUGUGAGCCAAAGCGGUGAGAGAAGCGACUAUACAACCAGUCUCCUGUGAAGAGCUGGGUGGGGCAGAGGACCACAGGAGCUUCCAAAGCCCUGGGCAGAACACAACUGUGCUACACAGUGGCCCGAUGCUCACCGAUGACCUGCUCACUGUCACACGGUGUGUUCCUGGUCCCCUCUUAGAUCUCCUUUCCUGCUCUACUUUCCCUCAUGGCCCCAAAGAUGACAUCCUGUGUCCCUGCCCCGAUAG
rnacentral:lncRNA from 1 species